rnacentral:rRNA from 1 species
UACAGAGGUCUCAAGCGUUGUUCGGAUUCAUUGGGCGUAAAGGGUGCGUAGGUGGUGAUGCAAGUCUGGUGUGAAAUCUCGGAGCUUAACUCCGAAAUUGCACCGGAUACUGCGUUGCUCGAGGACUGUAGAGGAGAUCGGAAUUCACGGUGUAGCAGUGAAAUGCGUAGAUAUCGUGAGGAAGACCAGUUGCGAAGGCGGAUCUCUGGGCAGUUCCUGACACUGAGGCACGAAGGCCAGGGGAGCAAAC